UACGGAGGAUGCAAGCGUUAUCCGGAAUUAUUGGGCGUAAAGCGUCCGUAGGUGGUUGAGUAAGUCAGUUGUUAAAGCGUGGAGCUUAACUCCAUAACGGCAAUUGAAACUACUCGGCUAGAGUCCGGAAGAGGAGAGUGGAAUUCCCGGUGUAGCGGUGAAAUGCGCAGAUAUCAGGAGGAACACCAAUGGCGAAGGCAGCUCGCUGGGACGGUACUGACGCUGAGACGCGAAAGCGUGGGGAGCAAACAGG
rnacentral:rRNA from 1 species